rnacentral:rRNA from 1 species
UACGGGGGGGGGUAAGCGUUGUUCGGAAUUACUGGGCGUAAAGGGCUCGUAGGCGGCCAACUAAGUCGGACGUGAAAUCCCUCAGCUUAACUGGGGAACUGCGUCCGAUACUGGAUGGCUUGGAUUCGGGAGAGGAAUGCGGAAUUCCAGGUGUAGCGGUGAAAUGCGUAGAUAUCUGGAGGAACACCGGUGGCGAAGGCGGCAUUCUGGACCGACAUUGACGCUGAGGAGCGAAAGCCAGGGGAGCAAAACGGG